rnacentral:lncRNA from 10 species
GAGAGGUCAGAUAGGCAGGGGGUGAGCACACCUGGACUCCGGACUGGACUGAUAUGACGACCCAAAACCUGGCUCAACCCUCCACAAGACCAUAAACAAGUUAUUAGAAUGCUCUAUGCCUCCGUUUUCUCACCUGCAAAUGGCCUUUUGAAUUCACAGGGAGAAGGUGGCUGUCUGCAACCCAAAGGAAGAGGCCCUACCAGAUACUAACUCUGACAGCAUCUUGAGCAUGGACUUCUAGCUUCCAGACUGUGACACACUAAGUUUCUAUUGUUUGAGCCACCCAGGUUGAGCCAUUUUGUUUUGGCAACCCUAGCAUUCUAGGACAGCACCAUAUAAGUUGUAUCUACUAUUAUUACUAAGACAGUCAGAACAGAAAUAGAGAAGACAGGCUGAGUUUGAAGAACAACUCCGCCAUCCCAAAAUUCAGGAUUUUUAUGUCGAAGAUCGGUGUUGUUGGAAACUGGUCCU